rnacentral:rRNA from 1 species
GCUACACAUGCAAGUCGAGCGCGAAAGGCCUUCGGGUUGAGUAGAGCGGCGGACGGGUGAGUAACGCGUAGGAAUCUACCUGGUAGUGGGGGACAACAUGGUGAAAACCAUGCUAAUACCGCAUACGCCCUAUGGGGGAAAGCGGGGGACCUUCGGGCCUCGCGCUAUCAGAUGAGCCUGCGUAGGAUUAGCUUGUUGGUGAGGUAAAGGCUCACCAAGGCGACGAUCCUUAGCUGGUCUGAGAGGAUGAUCAGCCACACUGGAACUGAGACACGGUCCAGACUCCUACGGGAGGCAGCAGUGGGGAAUAUUGCGCAAUGGGCGAAAGCCUGACGCAGCCAUGCCGCGUGUGUGAAGAAGGCCUUCGGGUUGUAAAGCACUUUCAAUUGGGAAGAAAGGUUGCGUGUUAAUAGCACGUAGCUGUGACGUUACCUUUAGAAGAAGCACCGGCUAACUCCGUGCCAGCAGCCGCGGUAAUACGGAGGGUGCGAGCGUUAAUCGGAAUUACUGGGCGUAAAGCGCGCGUAGGCGGUUUGUUAAGUCGGAUGUGAAAUCCCCGGGCUCAACCUGGGAAUGGCAUUCGAUACUGGCCGACUAGAGUACGAGAGAGGGAGGUAGAAUUCCACGUGUAGCGGUGAAAUGCGUAGAUAUGUGGAGGAAUACCGGUGGCGAAGGCGGCCUCCUGGCUCGAUACUGACGCUGAGGUGCGAAAGCGUGGGUAGCAAACAGGAUUAGAUACCCUGGUAGUCCACGCCGUAAACGAUGUCUACUAGCCGUUGGGAGACUUGAU